rnacentral:rRNA from 1 species
AUACAGGGUGACAGCCCCGUACACAAAAAUACACAUAUUGUGAGCUCGAUGAGUAGGGCGGGACACGUGGUAUCCUGUCUGAAUAUGGGGGGACCAUCCUCCAAGGCUAAAUACUCCUGACUGACCGAUAGUGAACCAGUACCGUGAGGGAAAGGCGAAAAGAACCCCGGCGAGGGGAGUGAAAAAGAACCUGAAACCGUGUACGUACAAGCAGUGGGAGCACGCUUAGGCGUGUGACUGCGUACCUUUUGUAUAAUGGGUCAGCGACUUAUAUUCUGUAGCAAGGUUAACCGAAUAGGGGAGCCGAAGGGAAACCGAGUCUUAACUGGGCGUUAAGUUGCAGGGUAUAGACCCGAAACCCGGUGAUCUAGCCAUGGGCAGGUUGAAGGUUGGGUAACACUAACUGGAGGACCGAACCGACUAAUGUUGAAAAAUUAGCGGAUGACUUGUGGCUGGGGGUGAAAGGCCAAUCAAACCGGGAGAUAGCUGGUUCUCCCCGAAAGCUAUUUAGGUAGCGCCUCGUGAAUUCAUCUCCGGGGGUAGAGCACUGUUUCGGCA